GAGACUCUGUGCGCGUGCAUAUCAAUAAGCGGAGGAAAAGAAACUAACAAGGAUUCCCCUAGUAACGGCGAGUGAAGCGGGAAGAGCUCAAAUUUGAAAUCUUAAAGGGUUUCCCUUUACGAAUUGUAGUUUAAAGAAGUGUUUUCUGUUGGAGUUUCGGUAAAAGUUCUUUGGAAUAGGACAUCAUAGAGGGUGAGAAUCCCGUAUUUGACCGUUACUUUCCAGCUGUGUGAUACACUUUCAAAGAGUCGGAUUGUUUGGGAAUGCAGUCCAAAAUGGGUGGUAAAUUUCAUCUAAAGCUAAAUAUUGGCGAGAGACCGAUAGCGAACAAGUACCGUGAGGGAAAGAUGAAAAGAACUUUGAAAAGAGAGUUAAACAGUACGUGAAAUUGUCAAAAGGGAAGCGUUUGACACCAGUGUUGUUUAGUUGAAAAUCAAUUCAAUAAUUUUUGAUUUUGAGUAGUAUUGACUUCAUCAGCUUGCUGCUUUCUUUUCCGAAAUUAUUGAAUGCACUUUUCAGUUAACAAGUCAACAUCAAUUUCUUUUGUUGUAAAAGGGUAAGAGGAAGGUGGCUUACGCUUCGGCGUAAGUGUUUAUAGCCUUUUACCUCUGCAAUCGGAGAGAUUGAGGACAGCAGCGUAGACUCCUUCGGGGGUUAGAUACACUUGUGCUAAGCUAUAACCUUGUAUAGACAACUUGUUGACUAUGCUCAGUCAUGUAGCUUACUCGCUUGUGCUAUUUUACCUACGCUUAGGAUGUUGAACUCUAUCACACACA
rnacentral:rRNA from 1 species